rnacentral:rRNA from 1 species
AUUGAACGCUGGCGGCAUGCCUUACACAUGCAAGUCGAACGGUAGAGUAGCAAUACUCGAGAGUGGCGAACGGGUGAGUAAUAUAUCGGAACGUGCCCAGUCGUGGGGGAUAACGUAGAGAAAGCUACGCUAAUACCGCAUACGAUCUAUGGAUGAAAGCGGGGGAUCGCAAGACCUCGCGCGAUUGGAGCGGCCGAUAUCAGAUUAGGUAGUUGGUGAGGUAAAGGCUCACCAAGCCGACGAUCUGUAGCUGGUCUGAGAGGACGACCAGCCACACUGGGACUGAGACACGGCCCCAGACUCCUACGGGAGGCAGCAGUGGGGAAUUUUGGACAAU